CCCAAGAACUGUCCCUGGGAUAAAAGGUCCUCGAGCCUAUUGUGAAAGUACUACCCCUUGACUAGAUAUAUCUUUUCCUGGAUAGAACUACACCCUGGAACUAAAUUUAACCUGGAUCCUCCAGUGGAAAUGCAGACUUUCAGGCAGGAGGGAGUCCAGGCCUGGUGCCUUCCUGGCUUUUGUUUCUCAAAGAGCCCACGCACAUCCUUUUUACAGAUCAUCAGUGGUGGGAGGCCAAAGGAGGGGGACCAGCUGCUGCCAUUACACAUGCUUCGUGGUGGAAAAGGGAAGACCACAGCACAGCA